rnacentral:tRNA from 1 species
GCAGGUAUGCUGGAAUUGGCAGACAGGCGCGUUUGAGGGGCGCGUGUUAAUAUUAAUGUACGGGUUCAAGUCUCGUUGCCUGCACUA